AUGGGUAUGCAGACUCUGAUGGAUAUCCGGUGCAAGAAUCUAGUGAACCCUGUAUGCGACUGGCUUGGUGAGAUUUACGACCCCGCCUCCAGGGAAUUUGUGAUUCCGGGACGUGGAAGACUGCCGUUGGACGAGGAAUCUGUGUUCUGCACUUUGGGUGUGCCCCAUGGAGAAAUCAAACUCCCGUACGAGGUCAAUAAUAAGAUCGAGGAAAUGUUGUUCCCCCGUUUGUUUCCUGGGUUGGAAUCCAUGCCGAACACGACUUUCCUGGCAGAUUCGCUGCAGGUCAUGACAACCCAUGGCGAGGUUUUUAAGAUGAAGCUACUCAUGUACCUCAUCUCAGCUGUUUUCGCGCCGACCACUUCUCUUCGCCCAAGCAACAAAUGCUUCCCCAUCCUGGCGAAACUGAAAGAUGUGAAGAACAUGAAAUGGUGUAAGUUCAUCGCCGACUUCCUGCAUGAUGCAUUCUCAAACAAGAUGUACCAGAAGGGUUGUCGACUGCAUUUAAUGCUCAUGUACGUCGACUAUCUUGAUCUGUCUACCGUGGACUUCACUGGGACAGGAGGCCCGCCGCCAACACACAAGUUUGUUGUUUCUGCGUGGACUUACGAUGCUGUCAAGGCUGUGCUUGCUGCAGACAGGGUAACUGAUACCAAAUAUGGAAAACUGCAGCUGAUGGCCAAGCAUGCUAUAGACUACAGCGUGUUUGGGGGGCCUCAAAACUUUGGAAUGUGGAUGGACGUGCACUCAGCUCCGUCUUGCCCUACUGAGGUGAGGGCACCUGUUGAGCAUCUAAUUGGGCAGAUUGCAUCCGGAAUGACCAGCUUGCUUGGGGAGUUGGUUGAGGGUUGGACGUCCCUAAAUGGCUCUGACAGAGACGCGGUUGCGAGGCAGUUCACUACAUUUGUUGCAGAACGGACACAUCGGCUAACUGGUUGCCGUGGCCGGUACGACUACAACAGCUCCCAAGAGCUUGCUAACACACAAGAUGAACUAGAUGGAGAUGCUGCUCUCAACAAGGACGAUGACGAUGACAUGGAGAACGUGCAGCACGACACCGAUGAUGAUAAACAUGUUGAAGUUCGUGCAGGUGGUAAGAAGGGCAAGGCUGCACCAGAUGUCCCCUCACCGGAGAAAGUC
rnacentral:rRNA from 1 species